rnacentral:rRNA from 1 species
GACGAACGCUGGCGGCGUGCUUAACACAUGCAAGUCGAACGAAGUGGCGAACGGGUGAGUAACGCGUAAUCAACCUGCCCUUCAGAGGGGGACAACAGUUGGAAACGACUGCUAAUACCGCAUACUGAAGGAGGGGAUUGCGUCUGAUUAGCUAGUUGGAGGGGGAACGGCCCACCAAGGCGAUGAUCAGUAGCCGGGCUGGGAGGAGGGACGGCCACAUUGGGACCGAGACAAGGCCCAGACUCCUACGGGAGGCAGCAGGGGGGAAUCUUCCGAAAUGGAGGGAAGUCUGACGGAGCAACGCCGCGGGAGUGAUGACGGGCUUCGGGGUGUAAAGCUCUGUUAAUCGGGACGCGGUACCGGAAGAGAAAGCCACGGCUAACUACGUGCCAGCAGCCGCGGUAAUUC